rnacentral:rRNA from 1 species
GAUGAACGCUAGCGGCAGGCCUAACACAUGCAAGUCGAGGGAGAAGCCCUUCGGGGCAGAAACCGGCGCACGGGUGCGUAACGCGUAUGCAACCUACCUUUCACAGGGGGAUAGCCCGAAGAAAUUUGGAUUAAUACCCCAUAAUAUUAUUGGAUGGCAUCAUUUGAUAAUUAAAAUUACGAUGGUGAAAGAUGGGCAUGCGUCCUAUUAGCUAGUUGGAGUGGUAACGGCACCCCAAGGCUACGAUAGGUAGGGGUCCUGAGAGGGAGAUCCCCCACACUGGUACUGAGACAGGGACCAGACUCCUACGGGAGGCAGCAGUGAGGAAUAUUGGUCAAUGGUCGGAAGACUGAACCAGCCAUGCCGCGUGCAGGAAGAAUGCCUUAUGGGUUGUAAACUGCUUUUAUAUGGGAAGAAUAAGGAGUACGUGUACUUUGAUGACGGUACCAUAUGAAUAAAGCAUCGGCA